rnacentral:rRNA from 1 species
GGAUUAGAUACCCUGGUAGUCCUAGCUGUAAACGAUGGAUACUAGGUGUUGGCCGUAUCGACCCGGUCAGUAUCGUAGCUAACGCGUUAAGUAUCCCGCCUGGGGAGUACGCACUCAAGUGUGAAACUCAAAGGAAUUGACGGGGGCCCGCACAAGCGGUGGAGUAUGUGGUUUAAUUCGAUGCAACGCGAAGAACCUUACCAGGGUUUGACAUGCCGCGAACUUGUCAGAAAUGACUUGGUGCCUUCGGGAGCGCGGACACAGGUGGUGCAUGGCUGUCGUCAGCUCGUGCCG